AGAGACUCAAGUCAUGUGGAAAAAAGAAGCACUUCUAUUUAAUUCCCUUGCAUUUUUGCUAACAGGUAACCACUGUCAUGAGUCAUGAGUCAUUUACAGUUCAUAUGGUUAAUCUAAAAUUGUAUACCAUGCUACAUCAUUUGGUGUGAUAUAAUUAAAUUAACAUAACAUAUAUUCUGAUUGCUGUAUACUAAAUUUAAAGUGUUGCCAAUAGCUG
rnacentral:lncRNA from 1 species